rnacentral:rRNA from 1 species
GUAGGGAAUAUUGGACAAUGGGCGAAAGCCUGAUCCAGCCAUGCCGCGUGAGUGAUGAAGGCCUUAGGGUUGUAAAGCUCUUUCGGCGGGGACGAUAAUGACGGUACCCGCAGAAGAAGCCCCGGCUAACUUCGUGCCAGCAGCCGCGGUAAUACGAAGGGGGCUAGCGUUGUUCGGAAUCACUGGGCGUAAAGCGCAUGCAGGCGGAUCGCUAAGUCGGGGGUGAAAGCCCGAGGCUCAACCUCGGAACUGCCUUCGAUACUGACGAUCUUGAGUCCGGGAGAGGUGAGUGGAACUGCGAGUGUAGAGGUGAAAUUCGUAGAUAUUCGCAAGAACACCAGUGGCGAAGGCGGCUCACUGGCCCGGUACUGACGCUGAGAUGCGAAAGCGUGGGGAGCAAACAGGAUUAGAUACCCUAGUAGUCC